rnacentral:rRNA from 1 species
GCACCACCAGGAGUGGAGCCUGCGGCUUAAUUUGGCUCAACACGGGGAAAACUCACGCUGGCCCGGAAACAUGUAGGAUUGACAAAAUUGAGAGCUCUUUCCUGAUUCUGUGGGUGGUGGUGCAUGGCCGUUCUAAUUGGUGGAAGGAUUUUUUCGGGUUAAUUCCAAUAACGAAAGAAAACUCUGGCAUGGUAAAUAGUUCCGCCAACCCUCCCCGGUCGGGGUCAAAAUUUCUAAAGGGGAUAGGGGGCGUUUUACCCCCCCAAGUUGGAACAAUAACAGGGUUGGUGAUGCCCUAAAAGGUCCGGGGGCGGAAGGGGGUAAAAUGAAUAAAGAAGCGGGGGGUUAACCAAGGCCAAAGGGCCGGGUAACCCGUUAAACCCCUUUUUGAUUGGGGAAGGGGAUUGAAAUUUUUCCCUUAAAAAGAAAUUCCCUAUAAGCAAAUCAUCACCUUGGGUUAUUCCCCCCCCCCUUUGAAAAAACGCCUUUCCCAUCCAGUUUAAGGGUAUAGAAAUCCUG